rnacentral:rRNA from 1 species
UAAGCGAAUAGUGAAAUCUAACGGCUCAACCGUUAACCCAUUAUUCGAACUGGACAGCUCGAGAAUAGUAGAGGUAGCUGGAAUUUCUAGUGUAGGAGUGAAAUCCGUAGAUAUUAGAAGGAACACCGAUGGCGUAGGCAGGCUACUGGGCUAUUUCUGACACUGAGGCACGAAAGCGUGGGGAGCGAACGGGAUUAGAUACCCCGGUAGUCCACGCCGUAAACGAUGGAUGCUA